UUUAGAUUUGUGUUUGUUUCUUCUUCAGAUCUAUGAUUCCUCUUCAGAUCUGCGUAAUUAGCCAGCUUCGCACUCACCUUGCAGCCAUGAUUUCUGGUAGAAUUGCAGAUUUUUACGUUUUGAUUCAGAGCUCUAUAGGUUCCGGCGAAGGCGUAGCCAUCAGAGGCUGAACCACCGGUGACCACAACCAUUUUCGUCUAUCGCAAACCUUAACUACCGAGGCCCCUUCUUCUUUUGAGCAUCUAUCGUUUUUUGGCCAAGAGCCAUGACGGAGCGGUACAUUAUGUUCCAUUUCUGACCAGAUCUGCGACGGUAUAGGGUAAUUCCGGCGACUUUUGGAGGCACAGAUGGUGAUUUUAAGUUGUUUGGGGUUCUGGACACUUGACAAACCCUAAGAAACCUUUCUAAGAAGAUGCGAUUUGAGUCCAGUGUAAGAAGUAGCCCUCAAAUUUUUCCGAGACACAUCUAUCCUCCAUGGGAACAAGCUUGCAGACAACUAAUACAGAUACAUGUGAACAAUAAUGGCAUUGGUGAUUUAGAUCCCGCUUGUUGGCCUAAUUCUCAUUGGCGAUCUGUGAAGGUCAGCUGGGACGAGUCAACUGCUGGUGAGAGGCAGCCACGUGUAUCGUUAUGGGAAAUCGAACCGUUGACAACCUUUCCUAUGUAUCCAUCGUUUUUUCCUCUUCGUUUGAAACGACCUUGGUAUCCCGGACCUUCAUCUUUUCAAGUUGCACGGAUCCAGAGACUUGCAAGCACCAGAUUAGUGAAUAUUUUCAGCAGGAGAAACCACUUUGGAAACUUACAUGUUAUGGUCAUAGCAAAUAGUUGGUCUGCGAUCUCUUAAUUUAGGAAUAUGUCCUAAACUAAAUGCACUCAAGAUCGAAGCACCAUCUAUGGUGUUACUUGAAUUGAAGGGGUGCGGUGUCAUAUCAGAGGCAUUUAUAAACUGUCCGCUUUUAACAUCUCUCGAUGCUUCCUUUUGUAGCCAACUAAAGUCUAAAGGACAACUGCUUAUCUGCAACUACCGCCUCAUGUCCCCUCAUUGAAUCGCUAAUUCUAAUCCUGCGAUCGUCAUACCGGGGUGUGGCACCUCUCUUCCAACCAUCAUCAAAGGAACAAGGAUGAGGAUGUGGGUGACCCAAGUGCAUUUAAAAAGUUCACAAUGGACUAACCUAAAAAUGCAAAGGGAAUUGGGUGAACCAAAUGUGUUACAACCAAGUAAAAUGUCUUCGUAGUUUAUAACUAAAGAUUCUAUACUAAGUGAGGUUAUAUAUGUUUGGGCUAUAAUAGUUUUCUCUAGCCUCUCACACGUACUAAGUGGCGGUGUAUAUGUUUUGGUUAUAACAUUUUACUCGGUCAAUAAA